rnacentral:rRNA from 1 species
ACAGUGGACGCGAGCAUCUGUGGCCAAGUUUUUAAGGGCGCACGGUGGAUGCCUUGGCACCAGGAACCGAUGAAGGACGUGGGAGGCCACGAUAGUCCCCGGGGAGUCGUCAACCAGGCUUUGAUCCGGGGGUUUCCGAAUGGGGAAACCCGGCAGUCGUCAUGGGCUGUCACCCGCUGCUGAACACAUAGGCAGUGUGGAGGGAACGAGGGGAAGUGAAACAUCUCAGUACCCUCAGGAAGAGAAAACAACCGUGAUUCCGGGAGUAGUGGCGAGCGAAACCGGAUGAGGCCAAACCGUAUACGUGUGAGACCCGGCAGGGGUUGCGUGUGCGGGGUUGUGGGAUCUCUCUUCCACGGUCUGCCGGCCGUGGGACGAGUCAGAAACCGUUGAUGUAGGCGAAGGACAUGCGAAAGGUCCGGCGUAGAGGGUAAGACCCCCGUAGUCGAAACGUCAGCGGCUCGUUUGAGAGACACCCAAGUAGCACGGGGCCCGAGAAAUCCCGUGUGAAUCUGGCGGGACCACCCGCUAAGCCUAAAUAUUCCCUGGUGACCGAUAGCGGAUAGUACCGUGAGGGAAUGGUGAAAAGUACCGCGGGAGCGGAGUGAAAUAGUACCUGAAACCGUGUGCCUACAAGCCGUGGGAGCGUCGGAUAUGUGCUUGCACAUAUCUCGUGACUGCGUGCCUUUUGAAGAAUGAGCCUGCGAGUUUGCGGUGUGUUGCGAGGUUAACCCGGGUGGGGUAGCCGUAGCGAAAGCGAGUCCGAACAGGGCGGUUUUAGUAGCACGCUCAAGACCCGAAGCGGAGUGAUCUAGCCAUGGGCAGGUUGAAGCGGAGGUAAGACUUCGUGGAGGACCGAACCCACCAGGGUUGAAAACCUGGGGGAUGACCUGUGGUUAGGGGUGAAAGGCCAAUCAAACUCCGUGAUAGCUGGUUCUCCCCGAAAUGCAUUUAGGUGCAGCGUCGUGUGUUUCUUGCCGGAGGUAGAGCACUGGAUAGGCGAUGGGCCCUACCGGGUUACUGACCUUAGCCAAACUCCGAAUGCCGGUAAGUGAGAGCGCGGCAGUGAGACUGUGGGGGAUAAGCUCCAUGGUCGAGAGGGAAACAGCCCAGAGCAUCGACUAAGGCCCCUAAGCGUACGCUAAGUGGGAAAGGAUGUGGAGUCGCAGAGACAACCAGGAGGUUGGCUUAGAAGCAGCCACCCUUGAAAGAGUGCGUAAUAGCUCACUGGUCUAGUGAUUCCGCGCCGACAAUGUAGCGGGGCUCAAGCGUACCGCCGAAGUCGUGUCAUUGCAGUAAUACGCCCAACGGCGGCUGUGAUGGGUAGGGGAGCGUCGUGUGCCGGGUGAAGCUGCGCCGGAAGGCAGUGGUGGACGGUUCACGAGUGAGAAUGCAGGCAUGAGUAGCGAUUCACACGUGAGAAACGUGUGCGCCGAUUGACUAAGGGUUCCUGGGUCAAGCUGAUCUGCCCAGGGUAAGUCGGGACCUAAGGCGAGGCCGACAGGCGUAGUCGAUGGAUAACCGGUUGAUAUUCCGGUACCCGCUGUGAAGCGUCAAACAUCGAACCCGUUAAUGCUAAGGCCGUGAAGCCGUUCCGGACCCUUCGGGGAAAGGAAAGUGGUGGAGCCGCUGACCCAAGGUGGUAGUAGGUGAGUGAUGGGGUGACGCAGGAAGGUAGUCCAGCCCGGGCGGUGGUUGUCCCGGGGUAAGGGUGUAGCCCGAGUGGUAGGCAAAUCCGCCACUCAUUGAGGGUGAGACCUGAUGCCGAGCCGAUUGUGGUGAAGUGGAUGAUCCUAUGCUGUCGAGAAAAGCCUCUAGCGAGUUUCAUGGCGGCCCGUACCCUAAACCGACUCAGGUGGUCAGGUAGAGAAUACCGAGGCGUUCGGGUGAACUAUGGUUAAGGAACUCGGCAAAAUGCCCCCGUAACUUCGGGAGAAGGGGGGCCAUCACUGGUGAGAGCACUUGCUGCUCGAGCUGGGGGUGGCCGCAGAGACCAGCGAGAAGCGACUGUUUACUAAAAACACAGGUCCGUGCGAAGCCGUAAGGCGAUGUAUACGGACUGACGCCUGCCCGGUGCUGGAACGUUAAGGGGACCGGUUAGUCAGGAUUCGUCUUGGCGAAGCUGAGAACUUAAGCGCCAGUAAACGGCGGUGGUAACUAUAACCAUCCUAAGGUAGCGAAAUUCCUUGUCGGGUAAGUUCCGACCUGCACGAAUGGCGUAACGACUUCUCGACUGUCUCAACCAUAGGCCCGGUGAAAUUGCACUACGAGUAAAGAUGCUCGUUUCGCGCAGCAGGACGGAAAGACCCCGGGACCUUUACUACAGUUUGAUAUUGGUGUUCGGUUCGGCUUGUGUAGGAUAGGUGGGAGACUGUGAAGCUUGGACGCCAGUUCAGGUGGAGUCGUCGUUGAAAUACCACUCUGGUCGUGCUGGAUGUCUAACCUGGGUCCGUGAUCCGGAUCAGGGACAGUGUCUGAUGGGUAGUUUAACUGGGGCGGUUGCCUCCUAAAGGGUAACGGAGGCGCCCAAAGGUUCCCUCAGCCUGGUUGGCAAUCAGGUGUUGAGUGUAAGUGCACAAGGGAGCUUGACUGUGAGACCGACGGGUCGAGCAGGGACGAAAGUCGGGACUAGUGAUCCGGCGGUGGCUUGUGGAAGCGCCGUCGCUCAACGGAUAAAAGGUACCCCGGGGAUAACAGGCUGAUCUUCCCAAGAGUCCAUAUCGACGGGAUGGUUUGGCACCUCGAUGUCGGCUCGUCGCAUCCUGGGGCUGGAGUCGGUCCCAAGGGUUGGGCUGUUCGCCCAUUAAAGCGGUACGCGAGCUGGGUUUAGAACGUCGUGAGACAGUUCGGUCCCUAUCCGCUGUGCGCGUAGGAGUCUUGAGAAGGGCUGUCCCUAGUACGAGAGGACCGGGACGGACGAACCUCUGGUGUGCCAGUUGUUCUGCCAAGGGCAUGGCUGGUUGGCUACGUUCGGGAGGGAUAACCGCUGAAAGCAUCUAAGCGGGAAGCCUGCUUCGAGAUGAGGACUCCCACCCACUUGAUGGGGUAAGGCUCCCAGUAGACGACUGGGUUGAUAGGCCGGAUCUGGAAGCACGGUAACGUGUGGAGGUGACCGGUACUAAUAGGCCGAGGGCUUGUCCUCAGUUG